AGAGACAGCAGUCGCCGCGUAAUACGGAGGGCGCGAGCGUUACCCGGAUUUACUGGGCGUAAAGGGCGUGUAGGCGGCCUGGGGCGUCCCAUGUGAAAGGCCACGGCUCAACCGUGGAGGAGCGUGGGAUACGCUCAGGCUAGAGGGUGGGAGAGGGUGGUGGAAUUCCCGGAGUAGCGGUGAAAUGCGCAGAUACCGGGAGGAACGCCGAUGGCGAAGGCAGCCACCUGGUCCACUUCUGACGCUGAGGCGCGAAAGCGUGGGGAGCAAACCGGAUUAGAUACCCCAGUAGUCCCUGUCUCUUAUACA
rnacentral:rRNA from 1 species